AUGCUCACACAGGGCCAUGGGGUAACUGUCUCAGAUUCUGAGCUGUUGCUUGCCUCCAGCAGUAUAAUUAUUCUGUAGGUGGUCAAAAAAUAAUUAGAAUUUUUUUAUGUUCUCUCCAAGCAGCUCCAAGACACAGCGGAAGAGGUCUCAGGAUGCCAGAGCCAGCAAAGUCAACCUCAGCCCCCAAAAAGGGCUCCAAGAAAGCCGUGACAAAGACCCAGAAGAAGGGUGACAAAAAGCGUCACAAAAGCAGGAAAGAGAGCUACUCCAUCUAUGUCUACAAGGUGCUGAAGCAGGUCCAUCCUGACACUGGCAUCUCCUCCAAGGCCAUGGGCAUCAUGAACUCCUUCGUCAAUGACAUCUUUGAGCGCAUUGCUGGAGAAGCCUCCCGCCUGGCCCAUUACAACAAGCGUUCUACCAUCACAUCCCGGGAGAUCCAGACAGCCGUGCGCCUGCUGCUCCCAGGAGAGCUGGCCAAGCACGCCGUCUCAGAGGGCACCAAGGCUGUCACCAAGUACACCAGCUCCAAAUAGCCAGGCAUCCCCUCUGCAGUGGGACCAUCGAGCUCCGGGCCCUCCACGCAAGCACAGGUAGGCAGCCAUGGUCUGGAUGAAUGGUCACAGCUAUUAUCUACAGCAAUUUGCAGCCUGGGGAUGGGCAUGAGAAGCUGCCUAGAGGAAGAGGAGAGAGUAUUCUGGAUGUCAGCUGAUUUUCAUAGUCUGUUCAGGAUGUGGAAAGGAUUUGUCGAGGCUGGUAGUGGAGGCCCUUGCUUUCACAUCUCAUUUGAAGAACUGACCAACCAUAUUACAUCCAGUCUCCUCUGUGCUUGGCAAACAUUCAUGUUUGGCACUGGGAGGGGGGGACUGGCAGCGGCAACACAGAGACACCAUCACUGAAGUCUUCCUAUUUGACUGCUCUCUCACAGUCAUCUGAUGUGGGUACUGAAGAGUCAGCGCUGCAUCCUCUCUCUCAGAGCCUGAAUCCCUCCUGGUGUGCAGUGGCUCAGCCCACCCUGUGCUGGCAGAAGUGGCAUCAACAGCUAUCAGGCACAUAUUGAUUCAACAGCUAUCUGUGUUUGACAGCCUGUUUUAAAGAGCAAGCCUGGCAGGCAGGCAGAUGCCCACGAUGAUGCCAAGCUCUAAUCCUCCUCCUUGCUCCUGAUGGAUGAGCCAUGGAGCAGGAUGAGGGUGCUGGCGCUGGAGCUGCCCACUGCCUCCCACCUUGUGUUGAGGUGGAGGAAUGGACAAGGUGGGAUGUUGGGAAUGGGUCUCUAUCUUUCCUGGCUGCUGCUUUGCCUGCCUUAGGACUUGCUUUGGCAUGCAAGACAUUGCUAAUUCUGCUGCUUUUCAGAGACUUUUCCUGCCUUGAUGCUGCCUGGGUGCUCCAUUCCACCAUAAAUGUGGGCAAGAUGGGGUGGUGCCCAUGGGGGUCUCCUCUCCUGUGAGGAAUAGGGUGAUGCAGGACAGACAGCACAGCUGUUUUGGGCAGGUACUGAGGAUUUGGGAAGGCAUCUGGUGUGGGACCAGAGGUGGUUAGUGCAUUUUGAGGGGUAGGAGGAAGCUGGCUCCCCACAAAGAUCACUGCAGGCAGCUGGCCUGGCCCUGCCCUCCCUAAUUCAUUCAGCAGUUACGAAGCAAAAGCAAAGUUGGGGGCUGGGUGAAUAUAUAGGGACACUUGCCUGCAUCCCAGAUAUUUAAAAGAUUAAAUAGUUUUAAACUACUUGAGAUACUCCCCAUAUCUUUUCAAAGUCCACAGUAAGGUGAGCAAUAAUAAAAUCAUGAUAAAGCCAUAGAGGUUAAGGGAGGAAUGUCUUGGUUACAGGUUUAUCUUGCCCAGACUGCUGGAUAGCAGAAGGGCCUGUGUAGAACUGGUGUGAAGUUGAAGCUUCCUACUCAAAACACAAAAUUAGCCAACAUUAAAAAAAAAAUAAAAAAGCAAACUCUCUGGUAGGCAGUAACACUCAAAUAAAAAAUAUUCAUGUCUAAAAUAACAACAGCUUUCAGCAACUUACUCUGUAAAUAAAAGGAGCAGCAAAGAAAUAGGAUCCAGAACUAAGUGCAGAUUCUCCCUAAGCUUCAAGACCUUGUUUUUAAUUAAAAGGUAAAUUCAUAUCCCAAAAUAGCAGCCAUGCAGUACAUUUCUAUCUUUCCCCUGCAUGUACCCCUAUCCUGUUUCUUUACACUUAGAGAGUGAUUGGGACCUUUGACAAAUUUAUGUUGCUUUUGGAGUUGUAGGACUCCGCAGCUCCAGAAGAUUCGCAUUGCAGUCAUUUUUCCAGUUGGUCUGAGGAAAGGACUGCAUAGCCCUGCUCAGAAACCUGAGAGCAGCCUGGGGUCUCCUGUGGUCUCUGUGCAAGACUGAAGGUCAGUUUAUUUAUGGGCUACUCCCACACCCCUGCUUUGGGCGUGAGCACCCCACACCUGAGAAGGGGCUUUCCUCCCACGCUCUGCUCAGCAGUUCCACACAGCUGUGUUUCAUAGCCUAAUGCCAGCAGGAAUCUCUGCUGAUAGCUCUCAGAAAGAACAAAACCCAGCUCCCUGAGUGCCAGCACCCACAAGGAGCAGCUCCUAGCAGCAGCACCUGUAUUCAGUAUUAGUAGCAUUGGUAACCUUGGCCUUUUGGCCAGGGCACUUUGCAGGUGACAGCUUAGUACUUCUUUAUGUUUCCAAUCAAAUAGUCAAAAUCAGAUACCAAAGAUUAACCUGUACCUGCAGUGGGCCUAGAGCCACUGUCCCUGAUGCCCCCACCACAAGAAAUCCAGGCAGUGGAUGAUGCACAGGGGGCCUCUUGUGAUUGAGGGGCUGGAUGGUAAUGCUGGAGCUUUCUUCUUCUGUCACUGCGAGGUGCAGGUCAGAAUUCAUCCCCCUGGGGAGUCCUCUUGAAGACAGGAAUUCAGAAUGGAAUGAGCCCAACAGUGUGUUUGAGCCAGGACACACAUCUCCCAGGAUUACCUGGCACAGCCUCUAAACUCUCGCUUUUUUGCACAGAGCAGAGUCCCACUUUAGUCUCACAGGCUGCAGGAAAUUAGGAAAAUAAAAUGAGAUAUUGGCUAUCCAGGGUCUCCUGGGCAGCUCAAGGAGCCAGGAAUGAGGCUGGGCACUCAGAUGAGAGCUGCUCACUCCAUACACAGAGUACGGGUCCCAUUUUCUUCUGCCACUGUUGUCAUUCUCUAUUUUUGCAGAUUGUUUCAGAGAGAGGAGAACCAGUGGUUUAAAGCUACAAAAAUACUUGAAAGCUUAAAGAAGAUUUUUAUAUUGUCUAAAGCCAAGUGACUGAAACUGAUCAUGUCCAUGCAUUUAUAGUUUAGGUUGUCCUUUUAUGCAUCAUUUGCUUUUCACUGUCCGUUUGUAUUUUUUUUUUCCCUCUCUCUUGACAUUAUGAAGCACAGGAUUGGUGAACUGAUCCUUAUUAAAACGAGCCUUUUUUAUUUUUUCCUCUCUUUCAAACCCUGUUCUAGUGGCUGCUCUAUCCUCUCACUGUUGUACGGACAUUUGUGCCAGCAAAGGGAAGGGAUGAUCCAGAAAAGGCUGGUAUAAGCUAGGACUGACACAGAAAGCAUUUGGGAAGUUCAUGUGCAGGACACCAUCCAGUGCACUUAAAAAGGAAUUAGUUUGAAUGUGAUGACCUUGGGCUGAGCCUUAAUAUUAGAGGCAAUAGAAGGUGGUCUAAAAGUUCAAGGAGUGAUUGUCCACUAAGUAAUCUGAGAUGUGACAUACUUCACAGUUUCCUGGUAAGGAGGUUUGCUGCAGAAGAUGGAUUCUGCGCUACAGAAUCUGUGUUUUUAAAGAAUACAUAUUUCCAGCUUUGGAAUUGAGAAAAUGUUUUGAAACUGAAGAUAACAUACCAAGCCCCACUAUCCCUACCUGAUUCCCGCUGCAGUCCCAGAUGCAUCUCUGGUCCAUGCCUGUGUUUUGCCAGGCAAAUUUUAAAAAAAUAAAUCAACUACAAAUUGAAGGUUGGAAAUGAAGAUGAAAAAGGUAAUACAGCCUUGGUAUUAACUUCUUAUUAACCCCAAGGAUAUCACUGCACUGAGUUACUUGUUCUCAUGUAAUAUUUAAAAGAGAAAACAAGCUGCUAUAGAUCUUCUGAUUUUCCACCCUGCUUCCCUAGAAGGGCCUAAGGUCCAUCUGCCCUUCACAGCAGAGUUGAACCUGUAGAGGAACUGAGUGGCUACCUGCAUGGAGGCUUGCUCCUGCUCAGGACAGACAGGCUUCUAGUCAAGCAUGAGGAAAACGAGCAAAAACAAGUGUGGAGGAUGAGUGCCUGUCCUGGACACAACUGUGUGUCCCGCAAAGGGACACUAAAGAGUCCUGCCCAGUGGAGUUGUGGGGUCUGUGCACCCUUCACUCUGGUGACAGGCAGCCAUAUGGGUAGCCCCAUGUCCUGCCACCCCAGGAGCAGAGUCUGUCAUGGCCUCUGCACAGCCCUGAGCAUUUGUUCCAUCAUAGCAUUUCCUGAUGGUUGACGUCCAGAUCAAAUUGUUUACAGGGAAAGGAAGAAUGGCAUCUGAAUAAUAAAAAUCACUUACUGACAGAAUUUGGAGAGUUUCCUGGGACCACCACCUGGGGAGCAAUCUUUCAUGCUUACUCCAUGCAUGGUAUCUUGUGGGCUUAUGUACACAGGGUUUUUCUGACAAUAAGUGUUACAUCAAGUGUGAUCCAUGUUAUAUUGCUGCUGGGUUAUGACCUUAGUGAUAAUUACCUGCUGUCUGUUAAAUGUCUAAAUAAAAGGUAACUUCCAAGCUGUUGGAAGUCAAUGG